GACGAACGCUGGCGGCGUGCUUAACACAUGCAAGUCGAGCGAGGCCCCUCCUUCGGGGGGGUGUCCUAGCGGCGAACGGGUGAGUAACACGUGGGCAACCUGCCCUCAGCUCUGGGAUAACUCCGGGAAACCGGGGCUAAUACCGGAUACGACCUCCACGGGCAUCUGCGGAGGUGGAAAGUUUUUCGGCUGAGGAUGGGCCCGCGGCCUAUCAGCUAGUUGGUGGGGUAGUGGCCCACCAAGGCGACGACGGGUAGCCGGCCUGAGAGGGCGACCGGCCACACUGGGACUGAGACACGGCCCAGACUCCUACGGGAGGCAGCAGUGGGGAAUAUUGCGCAAUGGGCGGAAGCCUGACGCAGCGACGCCGCGUGAGGGACGAAGGCCUUCGGGUUGUAAACCUCUUUCAGCAGGGACGAAGCGAAAGUGACGGUACCUGCAGAAGAAGCACCGGCCAACUACGUG
rnacentral:rRNA from 1 species